CUCCUCCUUCAGUCUUUUUAUGGCAACCAUGGGAAUUGAGAGUUGUCAGAUGUGUGGUGAACAGAACCAAGGGAAGACUGAUGAUUCACUGAACAUCUUACAUCUCAAAUGGAGGAUGGAUAUAUGAAUUUCAGCCCUAUGGGUGGUUGUUCCUGUGAUUUCUCAACUGAGACAGAAUUGGACAAGCUACUGUCCUGUACUGUCAACCCAGGUAGAGAAAUUCAAGUUUAUUGAAAACUACCAAGAAAAAGAAGAAAUCGUUCAUUCUCCUGGAGGCCAUUUGCAGAAGGUACAGUUUAAGCUAAAACUAAAAGGAAGUCAGGACUUUUCAGAGGUAUAAAGAUUAAAAUUUAGGGGAGACUGAGGCAGGUAGAAAUUAGUUUCUCUCUGUAAGGAGUAUUAUAUUUUUUUAGAGGUUUAUUAAAAGUUAAGGAUUAAAUAUAAUACAGGAUAAGAAACACGUGCCUAGGCCAGACCUCAUCUACAUUAUGGAAAGAGCCACGGCUGCUCCAAAAUGGAAGUCCAAGAGAGAG
rnacentral:lncRNA from 1 species